GUGGGGAAUUUUGGACAAUGGGCGCAAGCCUGAUCCAGCAAUGCCGCGUGUGUGAAGAAGGCCUUCGGGUUGUAAAGCACUUUUGGCAGGAAAGAAAUAGCGCGUGCUAAUACCAUGCGCGAAUGACGGUACCUGCAGAAUAAGCACCGGCUAACUACGUGCCAGCAGCCGCGGUAAGACGUAGGGUGCAAGCGUUAAUCGGAAUUACUGGGUGUAAAGCGUGCGCAGGCGGUUUUGUAAGACAGGUGUGAAAUCCCCGGGCUCAACCUGGGAACUGCACUUGUGACUGCAAGGCUAGAGUGUGUCAGAGGGAGGUGGAAUUCCGCGUGUAGCAGUGAAAUGCGUAGAGAUGCGGAGGAACACCGAUGGCGAAGGCAGCCUCCUGGGAUAACACUGACGCUCAGGCACGAAAGCGUGGGGAGCAAACAGGAUUAGAUACCCUUGUAGUCC
rnacentral:rRNA from 1 species